rnacentral:rRNA from 1 species
UACGAAGGGGGCUAGCGUUGCUCGGAAUCACUGGGCGUAAAGCGCACGUAGGCGGAUUGCUAAGUCAGGGGUGAAAUCCUGGAGCUCAACUCCAGAACUGCCUUUGAUACUGGCGAUCUUGAGUCCGGGAGAGGUGAGUGGAACUGCGAGUGUAGAGGUGAAAUUCGUAGAUAUUGGGAAGAACACCGAUGGCGAAGGCAGCCAUCUGGACCGACACUGACGCUGAGGCGCGAAAGCGUGGGGAGCAAACAGG